AGCCGGCAAGGCGGCAAGUGUCUCUCUGUGGCAAACGCCAAGCAGCACAGCAGUGGUGGAGCUGGAGCAGCAUGAGGCUGUUCGGGAAGCACGUGUUCCCGAGGCAGAUCGUCCUGUUCGCCGCAGGGCUGGUGUUCUUCGGGGCGACGACGUACGACGUGCACCGGUCCAUCAAGAACAACGAGCAGCCGCCGACCAGGGAGCAGAUGGAGGCGCUCCAGGACUACAUCAACUCCAAGAAGCAGUGAGGCCGGUAAAGAAAAAGAUCCGUGCUUGAUGGUUGAUGCGGAGCUCAUAUAUAUUGCUAUAGGUGUGUAUGCUUAGAAAGGGGCUGAAAACAAGUGGGUGCGUGCUAUGUGUUCGACGAUAUUUCUACGAGGACUUCCUUCCUAUGGGUGUGUAUGCUUAGAAAGGGGCUCAAAACAAGUGGGUGCGUGCUCUGUGUUCGACGAUAUUUCCAUGAGGACUUCUGGAUCGUGUAUAAUAAUAAUAAUAAAUCAGUAAAUGGCUGUGUAAUUGUAUAAUUGUAAAUCAGUAAAUAUAAAUCAGUAAAUGGCUAUGUAAUUAGGCAUGUUUCUAGGA